rnacentral:rRNA from 1 species
UACGGAGGGUGCAAGCGUUAUCCGGAUUCACUGGGUUUAAAGGGUGCGUAGGUGGGCAGGUAAGUCAGUGGUGAAAUCUCCGGGCUUAACCCGGAACUGCCGUUGAUACUAUCUGUCUUGAAUAUAGAGGAGGUGAGCGGAAUAUGUCAUGUAGCGGUGAAAUGCUUAGAUAUGACAUAGAACAUCGAUUGCGAAGGCAGCUCGCUACACUAUUAUUGACACUGAGGCACGAAAGCGUGGGGGAUCAAACAGG